CGAGUGGUGGAAUACUUUGACUCAUGAGAGAGAAGCUGAGGCGAAGGCGUCUACCUAGAGGGUUUCUGUCGAUCAAGGGCGAGAGUAGGAGUAUCCAACAGGAUUAGAGACCCUGGUAGUUCCUACCUUAAACGAUGCCGACAGGAGUUUGUCAUUUGUUAAUGGCAGAAUCUUUGGAGAAAUCAUAGUUCUUGGGCUCUGGGGGAACUACCACCGCAAGGCUGAAACUUGAAGGAAUUGACGGAAGGGCACACCAGGGGUGGAGCCUGUGGCUUAAUUUGAAUCAACACGGGGAAACUUACCAGGACCAGAUGUUUUUUAUGACUGACAGGCUUCGGGUCUUUCAGGAUAUUGUUUUUGGUGGUGCAUGGCCGUUGGUGGUGCGUGGGUUGACCUGUCUAGCGUUGAUUCAGCUAACGAGCGAGAUUAUCGCCAAUUAUUUACUUUGCCGAAGUCCUUCGGUUAAAGUUCUAAUUGGGACUCCCUGCGAUUUUAGCAGGUGGAAGAGGGUAGCAAUAACAGGUCCGUGAUGCCCUUUAGAUGCUCUGGGCUGCACGCGUGCUACAAUGUUAGGAUCAAUAGGACUGCGAGCCUGAGAGGGUGCGCUACUCUUAUAAUCCCUAACGUAGUUGGGAUUGACGUUUGUAAUCAGCGUCAUGAACCAGGAAUCCCUUGUAAAUGUGUGUCAACAACGCACGUUGAAUACGUCCCUGCCCUUUGUACACACCGCCCGUCGC
rfam:Trichomonas vaginalis G3, whole genome shotgun sequence.